UUAGCUAUUCAAAGAUGUAGAUAUUUAUCAGAAACACAAAAACUGUCCAAAGCACUUUUUCAGGUCAUAUUAUACAGUUAGAAGCCUAGAAUUAGUCUUGAAUCAGAUGUGGCCAAGAGAUUAUUGGUAUUUAGAAGACUAAACUAUCCUCAAGAACUAUGGGAUGUAUUCAGUAAAAAUACAUUCAUCGUAUUUUUUGAAAAAUACAUACAUACAUUGUAUUGUAAAAAUACAAUAAAAAUACCUUCAGUCUCAAUUCUGAAGGUAGAUUUCUAUUACUAGUGGUGACUUUUAACUUCAUUCUGAUUUAUGGUAUACGUGAGGCUUAGAGUUUGGCUCAUAGCAGACAAUUCAAGUACUGUUUAUUCUCCGAUGUAUCUCCAAGCUUCUGGAACUAUCCUCUCCUCUAGGUGGUCAAUCCAAUGAAACUGAGUCAUCCUCAUGGGGCAGAUGCUUGAUAAUUCAGCCACACCCCCAAGUUUAAACUCCAGAGGCGGGGAGAGAAACUUACGCAUGAUUCACAUCACUUAAUCUUUGACUCUCUUCUUAAAUUGUGACUUCAUUUCUACCAAAUAGCUCUGCAGUGGUUCGAACCUGUCACUUUGUGGCACCCAAAACAGUUCAGGAAUGGGAAAAAAAGGCUGUUUCUGUUUGCUUUCCAAACCACAUGCCCACGUGAAUCUGGAAACCUAUAUACUCCCACAUUCACAUUAGAAAUGCUCGCUUUCCCCUGGCGGUGUCAAUUCCACGUGCUCAGCUAAUUUAUAUCAUUGUAGGCAGGUACAACCCUGUGAGCCACAUCAGAGCACGUUAAUGCUAACAAGACCUGGAUCUGAGGAAGCCGCUUUGUAGAUCUCUCCAAGUUUCUGCAACCCAGCCAUUUGCCUGUAAUAAAAUAAACUGAAUGUGCAUACUCUGCUUUAACUUCUUCCAAGUGUCCCACAACCGGCUGCACUGGAGGCCAGGAGUGUGAAGGAAACUCACCACCUUAAUCACUUCCUUAACCCUUCAUACCAGCAAGGAGCCUGACUCACCAAGUCUCCAGGUCUUCUGAUGAGACUCCAACAGGAAGUGGGCACAGCUGGCUUCUCCUUGAAUUUGAAUAAACCGUUCCUUCUGCAUCAGGUUUGCCCAACACCCAACACCACCUGAAAGAAACUCCUGGAGGCUGCAUAAAAAGGAAAAAGUCAGCCUCCAAUCAGGGACAUGCCUUGGAGAGCUGAGGAGAUUCCUUAAGCUGUUGUGGCUUCCUCAUGCUUGUUACUUUGGGCGCCCACCAUCAAUUUCCACAGCGGGAUUAGCCCGCACCUAUCUCCAGGACACUGGACUGUCCUGACCUUUCUGUGCUUCUGAGCAAAACCAUGAUGUCUGAACAAAACCUCGAAAGCCGUCCCAGCUUUGCAAAUGAGACCCCUGACUAUGCCAAAUUUCGGGAACUGUUUUUAUGCCGAGACGCUCCUCCGAAGAGAAGGCGAUCCUAUGGGCUGUUGCGGGGAGAAACAAAAGCAUGUGCAUCUGAGGCACCAAGGGGAGAAUGCUGCCCGUGUCACUCCUCACCUGACAUUUUGGAGUGGAAAAUGACAGUGUUGGCACAGUAGCCUCUCCCAUACGGCAAGUGUGUUGGCUCCAGAGCCACUUCCGCGUCCCAGCAAUCUGUCCUGCCCAGGCACAGCGCAAGCUGUGGAGGCCCGGCUUGGAACCAGUUUCUGCAAACAGGCUCCUGGGCUACGACAGGGAGCCAGGAGGAGGGACCAAGUGCAGCUCUCGCUGGGAAGGGGGGCACUGCCUGGCUGUGCUCCUGAAGGGGCAGACUCGAAGGGCUCCUACAAUGGGGGAGACCCAACACUGGCCUGUAACCGGAAAGGGCAACCAGGGGGGCCUGCGAUGUGCCCUAUGCUCUCGUCCUGUUGGGUCUGACCAGGUCUGGUGAGAAGCUGACCCACGAGGUCAUCAUACUUCCUCCUUUACUAGCUGUGUAUCCUUAAGGACACCAUUUAAACCUCUCUGGGCCUGUGAAGUGUGGAUAAUAAUGUCAGCUCUACCUCCCUCCAGAUUGCUGGGAAGAGUCAGACAGUCUGUGGCUAGGAAAGCAUUUGGUAAUUUGUGAAAUGUCAUUAAACAGAGGUGGCGUGCCAUUAUAACUGUCUGGGGGCUCUGUGCUAAGAAUCUGUGCUCUGGUAGAGGGCCCUGGCCUCCAGGCAACAAGCUUUUGGCUUGUGUUUACUGAGACACUUAACUUCAUAGUUAUUUUUCAAGGCCCAUCCACAUAUUCUAGUCUCCCCUGCCCUCCUGCUUCAUCUGGGGCCUUGGCCAAAGCACCCCACCUGUCCGUCUGUGCCUCAGCUACUCCCCCUGGAAUAUGGGUGUGCUCUGUAACUCCACCUGUCUUAGGGAGACCCAUCAGAAUGAAUCCCGUUCAUUCGCUGAGCUAGCACUUAUUGAGGGUCUACUUUGGGCCUGGCGCUUAGGGUAGGGUUAUGAAUAAAAGAAAACUUCUGCCCUAGAAGAAGAGCCAGAAUGAUGGGUCAGCUCCAGGGCAAGGCAGUUAGGUUACAAAGAAACGUGGGGAUGAUGCCAUGGAGGCCACCGUGAGCCCCGCACUUAAAUAGCGGCCUUAGAAGGGACCUUCUUGCCUGCUUAAUUUCACUGACUCCUCUGCAAAAGAACCUGUGCCGUGCUCGUUAAGGAGCAAUGAUGAAAGCGGGAACCAUUUGCCCUUCUCACAUGGGGUUGGUCUCCACAACACGCAGAGCCCCAGGGAGGAGGUUACUACACUUCUUAUAGGGGUGUCAGGCCUAUUGUACAGAGACUGUCCUGAGCAAAGUGCACCCGACGUAAGGUGAUGUCACACAUGGGCACUUUGCUAACUUACCUGCUGAAAGUCGUUUCUCACUGGGGCCAAAGUCACACUAAGCAGUUACAGUGUUUGAUAAGGUGGUGGUGAAUGAUCAACCCACAGCGCACCUGGGAGAAGUCAGUCAGCCUUCCCUGAGUCACUGACUUAGUGACUUUUCCCGGCCACAUCUCAAAGUUUGUGGAGAGGUCAUCUCCUGUCCUCUGCCUGAAGCUGAGGGGAGGAUGCUGUCUGGAUAUAGGUUGAGCAGGGCACUUGACGGUGGCCAUAGAGUCAACCAAGUUACAGAUGCUUUCUUUCGUUCAUGCAUGCAUGCAUCCUUCCAUUUGCUUAUAACUAUUAUAUCAAAUGGGCUGGACUUGAUGGGGUUAACGGGAAACAGCUUCUUCUUUUUUUUUCUUUCAUCACUGUCCUUCCAAACUGCUCUGUCUGAUCUUCCACUGGUUAGCAUCUCAGGCAGAUCCCAUACUUUUCAGUCCCUUGCUCUCUCCCAGCUCAGGCCUGACCCAACCUCAGAAAGCUUGCACAGCCGGUCUUUAAUCUUUGUGUUAUCUCUCGCCAUUCAUUAGCUGCUCCUGACUCCCCAAGGCAGGGCAGAGAGUGGGGAGAAUAGGAAAAGAAGCAAAUGGUCUUUUUACUUAGCUGGGCCUGCUGUAAUCUAGCCGUUGGUGUCCUCUAAAUACAGAUGCUCAGAUACUGCUUUUUUUCUCUCGAAAGGCACCUUAAUGGGCCCCAUGGACCUGCCCCACCCAACCCAGGGCCUAUGUCUUGAAGUGUCUGGACCCGGAAUGAUGCCCCUCUGGCUGACUCUUAUGACUCCACCCCGGUUCCAGUGCCAGUGGGAUACUCCACAUGGCCAUCUAAUGCCAGGUUCACCUCUCUCUGGCAGUAAGGCCACUGGCUGGUCCUACUAAGAGGAUUUAAGCCUAGCUACCAAUGACAAGGUCCACGUCGUCCACAGAGAAGUUUUCCACCUGUUGUCCCAGCAAAUUCUGGAAGUGCAGGCCUUGUCUGAGAACUUUUUGUUCCCAAAGAUGGUGGCAGCCAGGGCAGGCCUACAAGGCCAUGCAGUUCAGCAAGCAUCCACCAGAGAUUUUAAUCUCUGCUCCUGGCACACUCCCCAUUCUCUGAAUGGUCCUCUUAGGGCCAUCUUUACUUGACUCAAUGAUAGGACAAGCACUCCCUCCCCUCCUCCAAUGAGACGAAAAGGAAAUAAAGCCAUGAUACUUCUUACUAGAACUCCCUUACAUUCAAUCCAAAACUACAUCUAGGUUCACAUCUAUUGUUUUGGUCAACUCUUUUUUUUUUUUUUUUAAGUUUAUUUAUUUAUUUUGAGAGAGAGAGAGAGAGCAAGCAGGGACUAAGCUGUAAGUGUAGAGCUCGACGUGGGGGUUUAUCCCAUGCACAAGAUCAUGACCUAAGCUAAAAUUAAGAGUCAGAUGCUCAACCGACUGAGCCAACCAGGUGCCCUGCCCCAGUUUCGGCCAGCUCUUUACAAGUCUUGCAUGGAUGAAGGCUGCAUCUCUCUUUAGAAUAUGGGAUCACCUAUUAUCCAUCUCAGCUUUGGGUAUCAGCAGAAAUUCUCAAACCACAGAAACAUUCCAAUUUAACUUUCUGUUAUUCAUUAAUCCAUUCAUUCAUGAUAUUUAUUCAUCGAACACUUACCCAGCAUGUACCAUGUGCCCAGGUAUACCCGGGAAGGAGCAAAACUGGCCUGGCCUUGUCCCUCUUCUGGGUAUGCUAGGUGGAUGUACCAAAUGCUGGCCUCUUGAAACCUCUUGAAACAUCUAAAUUUGAUUAUCGCAACAUCCUACCAACUGGAACUCUAUUAUUCUUCAUGGGCGUGUGACUACAAAGACAGAGAGAUCUUCAUGUUUGUAAUAAUGGUCCCAAUUGCUGCAAGAUCCCAAAGUGCCUUUGGAGUCAUUGCUAAUAACUUAAUCAUUGGUGUUGAGUAUAUGUUGUUGAUAUCUGAUUCUUUAGCAAGUAUAAACUUCCCUGUGCUUCUGUCUUAAUACUAAAUAGAUGCAUGCUCCAAGGCAGAGGUGGUUCCCUAUAAUCAGAAUAUAUGCAAAAUCCUAACACCCCAUUAUUUGAGAGACUGAGUUCAGUUUUCCUGUUUAUUUAUAAAGUAGUUUGUAAUUCAACAGAAGACAUAUAUGUAUAUGUAUUUGUAAAUUGUUCCCACUGUUUGGUGUAUUUUCUUUUAUUAGAUUGAGUUUUCCUGGUUGAAAUUUUCCCUUUUAUCAAAAAAAAAAAUGGAUAACUCAUUGAAAUAAUUAAUUUAACUUGAUUUUUUAAAGGCAAAGUCCUAUGUUUUUAAAACACUGCUUCUGUUCCUGGGCCUGCCACUCAAAAACAUUCAACUUAGAAUGUCUGCCUUGUUCCUGAAGUUAGAUUCUAUGUGUUUUGAUUUUGUGGGAAUUUUUUUUUUUCAUCUCAUUAAGCCUCAGCAGAGAUGAAAAGUUUUGAUCUCGUACAGGGAAAAACACCAGAGAAUCUUUAUUGUUGCCAACCAUUACAUUUUAAAAAGUCUUGCUUUCUAACCCCGGUUCCCUGAUGUAAUAUAUAAAUCUUGUUAACCUUAUAAAUAUGACUUUUCAAAAGCAAGGAACUCCUCCUUUCUUCCUUUAUUAUGUCUAAUUUGCAUACCAGCACAUAGUCCAAGUGUUGGCAGAUAAUAAUAUUUUAAAGGGCAUCGAAGUAUAAGAAUAACUACAUACUUGCAGAUGUGUUAUGAAAUAUACCCCAUUAGUCACUUUAUAUUUGAAAGGCAGAAAAAUAGGCACCUAGCAACAGCAUGCCAUCAUUCAGGAUUAGAGAAAAGCCAUUUUACAUCUAGGAGAUAUUACCCCCUCUUUUGGGGGCUGUCAGGCUAGUACAUUUAAUUACACAAAAGAGCCUCACAAGAGACUCGGCUGUUGAUUGUCCAUAUGCACGGUGAAUGGCAGUAAUGACAUCCCCCAAAGGAUGGCUUUUGGCAGGCAGGGGGCUUAUUGGGAGCCUUCCAGACAGGUUCACAAGUGAGUUCUGUGCAGAGAGACUUCGAGGCUCUGCUUGAGAACGGUGCUUUCUCUUCUGGAAAGCCACCAUCCUUCUUCCCUCUCUCCCCCUCUGACAGGACAUUGACAGGAGGGAGUGCACCACCCCCCCAACCCAGAACCCAGAAAUAAGGAUCCAGCACCAAAGACCCACCUUCCCCAUCAGCCACAGAGCAGAGGAUCAAAAUGCUGAGCCCACAUUAACAUCCAACUAGACUAUAUUUCCGGAAUGUUCUCUUCUCAUACCAGUUAAGACAGGUAAGAAGUAACAGGAGGCAAGUAAAGAUGUUGAAGAGAAGAAAGGUCAAAAUCUGACAUUCAGCUGGGAAGAAAUUCCUUCAGGAAUCUCUGUAGAUGCUUGUAUCUGUGCCACACAGUAGAGGGGAGAGCUUCAGGGCCCCAAAGGCCAUUCAGCAGGCAUUAAUAAACUUAGGGGUUCAGACUGAAGAUACAUAGCCCUGCCCUCAAGCAGUUCCCUUUUGGACAGAGGAGCUCGGCAUCAGAAAUGUCCCAGAAGCAGUAUAUUCUCUCUGCAUCAUGGAGACUUGGGAGCUGCAGAAAUUCACAUAUGAUCAAGUCAGCAUCUUGCCUUCAAGUCUUGGCCUUUGUUGGUUCAGUAGAAGAAUGGAAAGUGAAGCAGUGCAGUGGAGAUUCACAUGCAUGGAGAAGCCAGAGCUUGGGGGAGAUGCACUUCCUUCUCUACUUAAAGACAAAAAAGGAAAGAAGAAAGGGAGAGGGAGAGAGAGGGAGAAAAGAGUGCAAGAGCAAAAAAUGGUACCCUUUAGAAGUAGACACUGGUGAUGGUUGCCCAACAUUGUGAAUGUAAUUAAUGCCACUGGACUGUACACUUAAAAAUUGUUAAAAUGGGGCA